AACCGCGCAGAAGUAAAGGAAUAGAGCUGAAAUGUCACGUUCAAGGUUCAGUUCGGCAAGAGUUUGGCUUGGCUGUUUUGAUCAUUUGACAGAGCAGUCAACCGCGCUUGUUCUUGCCGAGUGCACUUCUUGAGCGUGAGCACUGUGUCCGGUAUUUGUGCCGGUUGGGGACUGAGUAUUGUGGGCAGACCAAUUCGGUAUCUGACUCCCAUUUUCAUGUCUCCAUCUGGUUGCGGAAACCGUGUAACAUUGCGUUGGCUUGUCUCAGACCGUAUGGCAAGGCGUUAACUGAAACUCCGUACUCUGCGUGCAGGCUACGGUGACCCUUAGCGUUUAUGCUGUGCUCGUCUGAAUCUUCGCAGUGUGUCAGCAGUGUUUGUGUCAGCCACCUAUUCCACCCGUCUUGAAACACGGACCAAGAAGUCUAACAUGUACGCAAGUCAUUGGGUCUGCAAACCCAAAGGCGAAAUGAAAGUAAGCUUCUUUAGAAGUUAAGCAGGAUCCUCGAUUAUUCGGGGCGCACUGCUGUCCUGCCUUAUAUGCAUUGUCAUUAAGGCGGAGAAUGAGCGGACAUGUUAGGACCCGAAAGAUGGUGACCUAUACCUGAGCAGGAUGAAGCCAGAGGAAACUCUGGUGGAGGUCCGUAGCGAUUCUGACGUGCAAAUCGAUCGUCAGACU
rnacentral:rRNA from 1 species